CGGCAGGCCUAACACAUGCAAGUCGAGGGGUAAGGUUCAGCUUGCUGAAUACACGACCGGCGCACGGGUGAGUAACACGUUUGCAACCUUCCUCUAACUGGAGAAUAGCCCGAAGAAAUUCGGAUUAAUACUCCAUAAAGUCAAUUUAAGGCAUCUUUUAUUGAUUAAAGCUCCGGCGGUUAGAGAUGGGCAUGCGUGUCAUUAGCUAGUUGGUGAGGUAACGGCUCACCAAGGCCACGAUGACUAGGGGGUCUGAGAGGAUGAUCCCCCACACUGGUACUGAGACACGGACCAGACUCCUACGGGAGGCAGCAGUGAGGAAUAUUGGGCAAUGGACGCAAGUCUGACCCAGCCAUGCCGCGUGCAGGAUGACUGCCCUAUGGGUUGUAAACUGCUUUUGUUUGGGAAGAAACCCCCGAUCGUGAUCGGGGCUGACGGUACCAUACGAAUAAGCAUCGGCUAACUCCGUGCCAGCAGCCGCGGUAAUACGGAGGAUGCAAGCGUUAUCCGGAUUCAUUGGGUUUAAAGGGUGCGUAGGCGGAAUAUUAAGUCAGUGGUGAAAUCCUGCAGCUUAACUGUAGAACUGCCAUUGAUACUGAUAUUCUUGAAUAUAGUUGAGGUGGGCGGAAUGUGUAAUGUAGCGGUGAAAUGCUUAGAUAUUACACAGAACACCAAUUGCGAAGGCAGCUCACUAAACUAAUAUUGACGCUGAGGCACGAAAGCGUGGGUAGCAAACAGGAUUAGAUACCCUGGUAGUCCACGCUGUAAACUAUGAUCACUCGCUGUUGGCAAUACAUCGUCAGCGGCUGAGCGAAAGCAUUAAGUGAUCCACCUGGGGAGUACGGUCGCAAGAU
rnacentral:rRNA from 1 species